UACAGAGGGUGCGAGCGUUAAUCGGAAUUACUGGGCGUAAAGGGCGCGUAGGCGGUUAGAUAAGUAAGAUGUGAAAUCCCCGGGCUUAACCUGGGAACUGCAUCUUAAACUGUUUUGACUAGAGUACAGUAGAGGGUAGUGGAAUUUCCGGUGUAGCGGUGAAAUGCGUAGAUAUCGGAAGGAACACCAGUGGCGAAGGCGGCUACCUGGACUGAUACUGACGCUGAGGCGCGAGAGCGUGGGGAGCAAACAGG
rnacentral:rRNA from 1 species